GUGGCACAAAGACGGACUGAAAGGCUAGAGUAGGAAGAAGGGGCAUUGCUUCUUCCAGUUUGCUCACUGUUCUUCCAGAAUUACUGUAGCCACGGUGGUUUGUGCCAGAAGCACAGUUGGCCCAUGUUCAGGUUUUUUUUCCCACAUUCUCAGAAGCAGCCUCAGAGACACCAGGCAUGGCCCAUCAGCACCCUCCUCAGAGACCUGAGUUCAGCAUUGUGGGAGCCCCUCCAAGCUCCUGAGACACCAGCACCAUCUGGCAAACACUCCGUUUCAGAUGUCUGGGUCUUACCUCUCAGGAAACAGAGCGACCUCAGGGCAAGGGACCACGAGAAAUGAAGACAUUCCCUAGGUAUCUGAGAGCUGGCAAUCAAAAGCUGAUGGAGGAUGCUUCAGUAUUUCAACUAUAUGCAAGAACUGAUCAAGACGCCAUAAAGUGCAACUUGGAGCAACUGCAGACCAUGAAAUCGAAUAUUUUCUACAAAUAACAAUAAAGAAAUGAAAUAUAGCAUGCGGAAGGGUGUAGGAACAUAAAACUGCAUGGACAAAGAAGAGAAUCCGUGGAUCACGCAGAAACAAUAUAAGAGACAAAAGUGGAACUUCUGCAGUCCCAGCUACUCAGAAGGCUGACGCAGGAGGAUCGCUUGAGCCCAGGAGUUUGAGCCUGCAGCGAGCUAUGUUCAUACCACUGCACCCCAGCCUGAGUGACAGAGUAAAACCCUGUCUCUAAAAAAGAAAAAAAAAAGUAGAACCCAUAGGAAGCAGGUCAAAGGAAUAAAGGAAUUCCCAUGUUA